rnacentral:lncRNA from 1 species
GGCAGGGAGAUGCUGGAAUUUGCUCUUAGGCUGAGGAAAAUUGCAAAAUAUGUAGAGGGGUAGGUAGUCACAGAAAUUGUUUUCUCUAAGAAGGAUAUUUGUUGAAAGUAAAGGAAAUGACGUUGGGGCUUGAGGUUUGGAAUAACAACUGCAGAUGAGAUGGGGCCUCAGCAAAACGGAACUGCCAAGCACUGGUAUCAGGGACUUGGGAUGGCCUGAACCAUCGCAGCCCUGAGUCAUAUGACACAGCAGUUUUCUUCAGCCCUGCCCGUGAGGUAGGAGACUGUCAGGUUGGUUCAGCUCCAACCAUCUCAGCUCCUUCAUGAUUGUUUCGUCAUCAUCACCAUCGUCACUGUCAUCAUCAUCAUCAUCACCACCAGUGAUUUCCUGAAUGCCAACCAAGCACCAGUCAUCAAGCGUGAGCCACGGUGCAAAGAUGGAGGCAGGCUCUCCAUUCUAAGGGAACCUCUCAGGCCAGUAGGGAAGGCAAGAUUCAGACACCAGGGACAGGCAGCCUGGGAUGACAGGUGGAACAAGGAGGAGACACAAGAACCCCCACCCCAACCCAGGAACCCACAUCACAGGCCAGACCUGCAUGAUCGCCAGGCACCCGACUCGGGUUAUGAAGGUGUCUCUCCUAAGAGAGUGGCAGAGGCAAACUUUAGCCUUGGCAGUGCGCCUCAAGCUGCUCAGGGGAGAAGUCACGGCCAAAGCCCUGGAGUGCAUGGGUUCUUUAGCCAUGGUUCUCCUGCAGCUUCCUCUGAUAUUAUGAAGCGCCUGCCGCCACCAGGCUUGUUCUGACUCCCUUCCAUGAUCCACCCUUCUGAGUGGGGUUUGGCUUCUGUACAGCUCUCCUGUGGGCACUGAGCCCACUAGUCAGAGCAAGAGGGCUCCAGUCUCUGGACAGUCACAGUGCUUGGUGGCAAAACAUAAAUUGUCAUUCAUUCAU